rnacentral:rRNA from 1 species
AUACGUAGGGAGCGAGCGUUGUCCGGAAUUACUGGGUGUAAAGGGAGCGUAGGCGGGAGUGCAAGUCAGAUGUGAAAUACAUGGGCUCAACCCAUGGGCUGCGUUUGAAACUGCAUUUCUUGAGUGAAGUAGAGGUAAGCGGAAUUCCUGGUGUAGCGGUGAAAUGCGUAGAUAUCAGGAGGAACACCGGUGGCGAAGGCGGCUUACUGGGCUUUUACUGACGCUGAGGCUCGAAAGCGUGGGGAGCAAACAGGAUUAGAUACCCUGGUAGUCCACGCUGUAAACGAUGAUUACUAGGUGUGGGGGGACUGACCCCUUCCGUGCCGCAGUUAACACAAUAAGUAAUCCACCUAGGGAGUACGGCCGCAAGGUUGAAACUCAAAUGAAUUGACGGGG